AUUGAACGCUGGCGGCAAGCCUAACACAUGCAAGUCGAACGAGUGGCGGACGGGUGAGUAAUGUCUGGGAAACUGACUGAUGGCGGGGGAUAACUACUGGAAACGGUAGCUAAUACCGCAUACCAUCGGAUGUGCCCAGAUGGGAUUAGCUAGUAGGUGGGGUAAAGGCUCACCUAGGCGACGAUCCCUAGCUGGUCUGAGAGGAAGACCAGCCACGCGUGAACUGAGACACGGUCCAGACUCCUACGGGAGGCAGCAUUGGGGAAUAUUGCACAAUGGGCGAAAUCCUGAUCCAGCCAUCCCGCGUGUAUGAAGAAGUCCUUCGGGUUGUAAAGUACUUUCAGCUGGGAUGCGUUACCCGCAGAAGAAGCACCGGCUAACUCCGUGCCAGCAGCCGCGGUAAUUC
rnacentral:rRNA from 1 species